UUGAAAGCUUAGAAUAGGUGUAAUUGUCAUAUUAUUCAAUGAAUAUAUUCAUGGGAGAGGAAUAGCGAUUCAAUUAGUUGUAACUUGUAAGAACGAUUUUAUUUUUCUUAAAUUUCUUUUUGUUCUAUUUUUUAAUUUUGUGGAUUUUUUUCCUGAACAUUUCAAUGGGGUUCAUCCCGGUCGCAGCGCAGCGAAAAAAAAAAAAAGAUUAUGGAGUUAAUCAGGUAUUAAAAAGCAAUAUAUAGUCCUAAAAUUAGAAAAUGUUAUUGGAAAUUUUUCAUUGCGAGAGACAGGAAGGAGAGAGGAGAGCGAGAGAGCGCCGUCCGGAGUCGACCUUUCACGUAGGGGAUGAGGGAAUUAUGCUGUUUUCGUUUCUGCCUUUCAUCGUCGACGAAGAUUCAAGACUGACGGCCAACUAUCACAGCCUUUCCAACAGCAUUGGUGAAGAAAGAAGCAAGUCUCAUAGCGCAAGAGUAAGUGCAAUAAUGGAGUCCUCUACUCCUCUUUCAUCUGACUUUUUUUCCCUCUUCAGUUUUUCAUUGGAAUUUUCAACUUUUUCUUUGGAUUCGAAUCACCUCGGUGUUACUCCUAGUCGACUUGGGUGACAACAAUGAUUUGGUUGAGUUGCAUGAUUCCAAUCGGAGUUGGUAACAAAUUCAAGAUUGAAUCGCAACUUGUGUUGUGGAAUCGUCUUGGCCAUGGCUGAAUCAGAAUGUCUUGGCCGAGUCCCUAUUAGAUUUGGCCGGUAGUUGGAACAUUGAUUGUUUCGCGGGCCUUUUUUCUAGCUGAAAUUCAGAAACCAAACCCAAAACCCCGUUUUUCUGCGGAUCUUUGUAGGGCUGUUUAUCUUUGAAGGAGACACUCGAAGAAUUAAAAAAUAGAAAUGCCAGGGGCAAGUUACUAAAGAGGAGUUUGCAGUAAGGAUUUCCCACUGUAUCUUUGUUAUUUUGCAUCUUUCUCUCUCUCUUUCUUUCUUCCCUAUUAAUGAUGAAUUUUGAUUUCUGGGUUAUUGCAAUUUUCCCUCACAAAAGGAGUGAAUUUCUUGUUGGAUUUUUGUCUCAUCAAAUCAUUGGCUAUAUUUGAAAUUUUCAAUUCUUCUGAAUUGAGUGUGAUUUCUUUUGAUCAUCAUACGCUUGAAACUGGAAAUUGUAUUUGAAUUGUAUUAAUUCUCGAAAUAAUUGUAUUAAUUCUGA